UUUAAUAUGGCAGAUUAAGUGCAUUGGUUUUAAACACCAAAAAUAAAAUUAAUUAAUUUUUAUUAAAA
rnacentral:tRNA from 1 species